GAUGAAGAACGCAGCGAAAUGCGAUAAGUAGUGUGAAUUGCAGAAUUCAGUGAAUCAUCGAAUCUUUGAACGCACAUUGCGCCCUUUGGUAUUCCUUAGGGCAUGCCUGUUCGAGCGUCGUUUCAACCCUCGAGCCCCCGUGGCCCGGCGUUGGGGAUCUGCCACGGCAGGCCCCUAAAACCAGUGGCGGACCCGAAGGCCCUCUCCUUUGCGCAGUAGCAUCAGCCUCGCAUUGGGAUCCCUCGGCGUCCUGCCUCUAAACCCCCCACAAGUCCGCUCCGGCGGCACCAAGGUUGACCUCGGAUCAGGUAGGAAUACCCGCUGAACUUAAGCAUAUCAAUAAGCGGAGGA
rnacentral:misc_RNA from 1 species